AUAUUUACCUGGCGUAGGGGAUACCGUGAUCAUGCAGGCGGUUCUCCCAGGGCGAGGCUGCUCCAUUGCCCUGCGGAGUGCUUGACCCUUGCGAUUAUUUUUAUUUUUAUCAAUAAAAAAAUCAUGUUAAAAAAUCAUAAUAAAAAAUGUAUACUCGAAUAAUUAUUUUCUUUAC
rnacentral:snRNA from 9 species